ACUCCUGCGGGAGGCAGCAGUGGGGAAUUUUGGACAAUGGGCGAAAGCCUGAUCCAGCAAUGCCGCGUGAGUGAAGAAGGCCUUCGGGUUGUAAAGCUCUUUUGUCAGGGAAGAAACGGUGAGAGCUAAUAUCUUUUGCUAAUGACGGUACCUGAAGAAUAAGCACCGGCUAACUACGUGCCAGCAGCCGCGGUAAUACGUAGGGUGCAAGCGUUAAUCGGAAUUACUGGGCGUAAAGCGUGCGCAGGCGGUUUUGUAAGUCUGAUGUGAAAUCCCCGGGCUCAACCUGGGAAUUGCAUUGGAGACUGCAAGGCUAGAAUCUGGCAGAGGGGGGUAGAAUUCCACGUGUAGCAGUGAAAUGCGUAGAUAUGUGGAGGAACACCGAUGGCGAAGGCAGCCCCCUGGGUCAAGAUUGACGCUCAUGCACGAAAGCGUGGGGAGCAAACAGGAUUAGAUACCCUUGUAGUCCCAUGAU
rnacentral:rRNA from 1 species